UGAAGAUACAAUAGUUUAUGUUUGAAUAAAAAUAUGUAGUCCUUCUUCUUUGUCUUGAAAUUGCUUUUUAGGGUUUAUCAGAUAUUGGCGGCAUGUUUGGAUUGACGUCGUUUUACGGCAAACGCGCGUUAUACCGAAGCCGCUGUCUCUAACUUCUGCGUCCUUUUACCAGUUUUUAUUUUCUUUUCUUGAAGUGCUUCUUCAGAUUCGAAAAUGGAGGAGGGAAGUUCCGAUGGCAAUUGCGACCGCGAUCGAAUCCGCAACAUCUGCAUCCUCGCCCACGUCGACCAUGGCAAGACCACCCUCGCCGACCACCUAAUUGCGGCUGCGGGCGGCGGCGUCGUUCACCCGAAGCUCGCCGGGCGUGUCCGCUUCAUGGACUACCUUGACGAGGAGCAGCGGCGCGCCAUCACCAUGAAGAGCUCCUCCAUCCUCCUACGCUACCGCGGCCACGCGGUGAACCUCAUCGACUCCCCUGGUCACAUCGACUUCUGCAGCGAGGUCUCCACGGCGGCGCGCCUCAGCGACGGUGCGCUCCUCCUGGUCGACGCCGUGGAGGGCGUCCACAUUCAGACACACGCCGUCCUCCGCCAGUGCUGGAUCGAGCGCCUCACCCCUUGCCUCGUUCUCAACAAGCUCGAUCGCUUGAUCACCGAACUCAAACUCACUCCCUCCGAAGCUUACACACGCCUAUUGCGAAUCGUGCACGAGGUCAACGGAAUAGUCAGCGCUUACAAAUCAGAAAAAUACCUCUCCGACGUCGAUUCUCUACUCGCCGGCACCGGAACCAUCGGCAGCACUGGUGAGACUCUGGAGGAUUACGACGAUAACGAGGACGUUUUUCAGCCGCAGAAGGGGAAUGUUAUAUUCGCUUGCGCCUUAGACGGUUGGGGAUUUGGGAUUCGUGAGUUUGCGGAGAUAUACGCGUCCAAGCUUGGUGCAAGUGUGAAUGCGUUGUUGAGAGCGUUGUGGGGACCUAGGUAUUUUAACCCUAAGACGAAGAUGAUUGUGGGGAAGAAAGGUGCUGGUGCUAAUAAGAAACCUAUGUUUGUUCAGUUUGUGUUGGAACCCUUGUGGCAGGUUUAUCAGGGGGCGUUGGAAGGGGACAAGGGGCUGGUGGAGAAGGUUAUUAGAUCGUUUAGUUUGUCGGUGCCACCGCGCGAGCUGCAGAAUAAGGAUGUGAAGGUCGUGCUGCAGGCUGUUAUGAGCCGGUGGCUUCCGCUGUCGGACGCGGUUUUGUCGAUGGUGGUUAGGUGUCUGCCGAACCCGGUUGCGGCACAGGCGUUUCGGAUAUCGAGGUUGAUUCCGAAAAGGGAGGUUGUUGGGGAUGUGGUGGAGGAGCGCGUGGUGGAGGAGGCGGAGAUGGUGAGGAAGGCAGUGGAAGGGUGUGACUGUGGGGAUGAGGUUCCUUGUGUGGCUUUCGUGUCGAAGAUGUUUGCUUUGCCGGUUAAGAUGGUGCCCGGACAGAGGGGGGAGGUUGGCAAUGGCUAUGGUGACGAAGGGGAGGGUGAUUCCGAUGAGUGUUUUCUGGCUUUUGCUAGGAUUUUUAGUGGGGUUUUGUAUGCGGGGCAGAGAGUUUUUGUGCUUUCUCCAUUGUAUGAUCCGUUGAAAGGAGAAUCGAUGCAGAAGCAUAUACAGGAGGCUGAGUUGAAAUCGUUGUAUUUGAUGAUGGGACAAGGGUUGAAAGUUGUGACAUCUGCCAAGGCAGGAAAUAUUGUUGCCAUUGGAGGUCUUGGGCAGCAUAUAUUGAAGAGUGCUACUCUUUCUUCCACUAGGAAUUGUUGGCCUUUUUCGAGUAUGGCAUUCCAAGUUGCCCCGACUUUGAGAGUAGCGAUUGAGCCGUCCGACCCUGCUGAUGUGGGUGCGUUGCUCAGGGGCUUGAGGCUUCUCAAUCGAGCAGAUCCGUUUGUUGAGGUCACAGUGUCUUCUAGGGGAGAGCAUGUUCUUGCUGCUGCUGGAGAAGUUCAUCUUGAGAGGUGCGUAAAGGAUUUGAAGGAUAGGUUUGCCAAGGUAAGCUUGGAGGUUUCUCCACCUCUUGUGUCCUACAAAGAAACCAUCGAGGGAGAGGUAUUGAACGUGAUGGAAAAUUUGAAAGUUCUUAGCAGGAGAUCAGAUUAUGUUGAAAAAACAACACCCAAUGGAAGAUGUGUUGUUCGGGUGCAGGUGAUGAAACUUCUACCUUCUCUGACAAAGGUGCUCGAUGAAAGCUCUGAUUUACUUGCAGAUAUCAUUGGAGUAAACUCUGGGCAUACAUUAAAAAGUUUGGAAACCCAGAGACCAAGUAUUCUUGAAAAUGAAAACCCAGUUGAAGUGCUAAAAAAACGCAUAUUGGAUGCAGUGGAGGGUGAUAUUUUGAGCAGGAAUGAAGAUGACAAGGACCAUGCAGAGAAAUGUAAACUGAAGUGGCUAAAGGUUUUGAGGAGGAUAUGGGCACUUGGACCAAGGCAGAUUGGUCCUAACCUACUAUUCACUCCUGAUAACAAAGCAGAGAGUACCGAUAACUCUGUCUUAAUACGUGGUUGUUCUCAUGUAUCAGAGAGGUUGGGUUUUGUGGCCGAUUCUAGUACCAGUGACUCUGUUGCCGAGAGGCCUUCAACUGCAAACCAAGCUCUGUACAUGGACGCUGAACAUCUUGAGAGUAGUGUAAUAUCUGGGUUCCAGCUGGCCACUUCAGCCGGACCCUUGUGCGAGGAACCUAUGUGGGGUUUGGCAUUUGUUGUUGAGGCUCGCAUAUCUCCAUUUUCAGGGCAUGGUGAUGAAUCUGAAACGCCCCAGCAAUCUGAGCAGUAUGGCAUCUUUGCAGGGCAGGUAAUAGCAACUGUCAAAGAUGCAUGUAGAGCAGCUGUGCUUCAGAAUAAGCCACGGCUUGUAGAAGCAAUGUACUUCUGUGAAUUGAAUACACCUACUGAAUAUUUGGGUCCUAUGUAUGCUGUACUUUCCCGGAGAAGGGCCCGAAUUUUGAAGGAAGAGAUGCAAGAAGGUUCCCCUUUCUUCACUGUCCAUGCAUAUGUUCCUGUUUCUGAGAGCUUUGGUUUUGCGGAUGAGCUUAGAAGGUGGACUUCUGGUGCUGCAAGUGCACUUCUUGUCCUUAGCCACUGGGAAGCACUUUCUGAGGAUCCUUUCUUUGUACCUAAAACAGAAGAGGAAAUUGAAGAGUUUGGAGAUGGUUCUAGUGUUCUUCCAAACACCGCAAGAAAGUUAAUUGAUGCUGUCAGGCGUCGCAAGGGCCUUCCUGUGGAGGAAAAGGUUGUGCAGCAUGGAACCAAGCAGAGGACACUGGCUCGUAAAGUCUGAGGCAUCUCGUUACAGUUGUCUCCUUAGCUGUUACGAGAACAUCUAGUUGUGGAAUAUGUGUAACUCAUACUUCAUGUACUGUACCGUUAGGAACAAUUUUUCAUUUGCCAAAUGUUGCCAUGGACAUGUGGAUGCAACACUGAUAUUAAAGCAUGUAUUUUGAAGGGUGUCUUUUGAAUCUAAUUUGUACGAGACUUCAAGCUGGUGGGAGUCUCUUCAAUCCACAGGAGGGAACUCAAACUCCAGCUUCCUGAUUCAUUUCCUAAUCUUCAACUCUUUAUCAGGUUCAGGUUCAU